rnacentral:lncRNA from 1 species
GGAGAAGGCGAUGGUUGCUGAGACAGUCCUCGGAGGAGAACCCAGGACGGCUUCCCUGCAGAAGGAAGUGACUCAGCCGCGGAGGACUGCAGGAUCAAUCGGAGCAGAUCAGGUAAAGGAGUGCAGGGGCUGGGGACAGAGCAAAUCGCCAGGCUGGAGAAACAGCACACAGCAAAGCCGGAGGCCAGAAAGAGCGUGGCUGGCUGCAGAAGCUGAAAGUUCAGUAAGGCUGGGAUUCCCAGAUAAGGAAACGCAGUGUGGAGCCAUGACGCUAGAAAGCAAUUGGUGCGAAUGGUAGACAUCUGAUUCACCUGCCUUACUCAUUCCUGACGCGCACCCUAUACCAGCUGCUCUCCACUGACUUUGGCCUGGAAAAUUGAAAUCAAAUGCUGCACAGUCAAGCAACUUCUAAGCAAUUUCAAAUAAGUACAGUCAUAAUUCAUCUCUAGUCAAACAAUGUGAGAUUUUAGUAAGAGCAACAGGAAAAGUUCUACAGGGAAAGAACACUUCUAACUUCCAUUGUUCUGCAAAUACUCCUCCACAAGUAAUUUUCUUCCCUUAGUUACUGAGUGGGUGUCUGAUGAUCAUGAUCGGAACAUGAGAAAAGGUAAAUCAUAUUUUUUAUUCCUGUAAAGGAUAAGUGUGAUUAUUUAAUUCUUACAUAAUUCUGGCUACAUGAUAUGCAAGUAUGUU